UCUCUCUUUCUCUUCCUCUUUCUAUUUUGUUCCAUGUUGUUUUUUCUUCUCACCCCCUUUACUUUCUCUCUGAUUUGUCCACUUGUCCAAGAUAAGAGUUUCAUCGGGGUUUAUCAAUGUGGAGUUUUUGAGUUUUUUUUGUUUUGGAUAAUUAAUUUUUCAGUGAAAUAAAAGACUUCUUCAAUAUAGUGUUUUUUAAUAAUAAUUAUUCAUUGAUAUGAAUGAAUAUUUGAGCCGUUUAUUUUGAAAAUGGAUUAACUCCAUUGAUGUUCGAAUUGAGGUUAGAAAAAAGUGUGUUUUUCAUAAACGAUAUGAUUUACUUUGAAUCAUGAACUUUGGACACUGAACAGUGUUUUAUUAUUAUUAUCAUCAUCAUCAUCAUCGUCAUCAUUGAGAUGGAUAUUUAAGGAGACAAAUGUUAUGUUAUGAUUUUAUUUGAAAGUUGUUCUUGACAGAAGUAAGAUCAUUACCACCCCAUUUUACUGAAAGUUAAUCAAAGAUACGUGAAAUGAAUUAUUAUCAAUUUUUUCAUUCAUUUGAAAGAUGAAGACACAUGAAAUUAGUGAAACAUUGUGAACAUCGGUGUACAAUUGAAGAAACGUCUGAGUGAAAUAAAAUAAUAUUAAGGAUUAUUUAAUAGAAGACAAUUAAGUUCUUUUUUAAAGUGAACUAUAACAUAAGUCGAAUUUCAAUCGAAAGUGCAUCAAAAAAAAGAAAAAAACAUUGCAGUUUUGUAUUUUCUCUCUCGAAUUUAAAUACAAGUUAAUUGAAUGAAAAAAAAAAGACAAAACAAAAACAAAAACAAUAAAAACUAAACGACGAGGAAAAUACGACACGUGAAUAUUUUUAAUUGGUUGGAUUAUCAUUUGGAAGGGUUCGUUGAGGAAAAAUCAUUUUGAUUCGAGUGUAUGAUUUUAAUCAUUUGUGUGUGUUUGUGAAUUUUCAACUCGAUUAUUCGUGUUAAUGUUUGUCUCUUUUUACUAAAAGACAUUUGACAAAUAAAAAAAAAAAGAAAAACCUUCAAAUGAAUUUGGUGAUGAGCUGAGAGAAUUGUGGCGGUGUUAAUUUCAAACUUAUUUCAAAUCAACUUUGGAAAAUGAGUCUCUGGAGAUUUGGUCCUUUAAAAGACGGUA